rnacentral:rRNA from 1 species
UACGGGGGAGCAAGCGUUGUUCGGAUUUACUGGGCGUAAAGGGCGGGUAGGCGGCCACCGCAAGUCAGUUGUGAAAUCUCCGGGCUUAACCCGGAAAGGUCAACUGAUACUGCGGGGCUAGAGUGCAGAAGGGGCAACUGGAAUUCUCGGUGUAGCGGUGAAAUGCGUAGAUAUCGAGAGGAACACCUGCGGCGAAGGCGGGUUGCUGGGCUGACACUGACGCUGAACUGCGAAAGCUAGGGGAGCGAACGGG